rnacentral:rRNA from 1 species
UACGAAGGGGGCUAGCGUUGCUCGGAAUGACUGGGCGUAAAGGGCGCGUAGGCGGCGCAUUUAGUCAGGCGUGAAAUUCCUGGGCUCAACCUGGGGGCUGCAUUUGAUACGUAUGGACUGGAGUGAGGAAGAGGGUCGUGGAAUUCCCAGUGUAGAGGUGAAAUUCGUAGAUAUUGGGAAGAACACCGGUGGCGAAGGCGGCGACCUGGUCCUUUACUGACGCUGAGGCGCGAAAGCGUGGGGAGCAAACAGG